rnacentral:rRNA from 1 species
ACGUUAUAAUAUGCAUUUCA